rnacentral:rRNA from 1 species
UACCCGUAACGAGCGCAACCCUUGUCCUUAGUUACCAGCACGUUAUGGUGGGCACUCUAAGGAGACUGCCGGUGACAAACCGGAGGAAGGGUGGGGAUGACGUCAAGUCAUCAUGGCCCUUACGGCCUGGGCUACACACGUGCUACAAUGGUCGAUACAAAGGGCAGCGACACUGCGAGGUGAAGCCAAUCCCGUAAAAUCGGUCUCAGUCCGGAUUGGAGUCUGCAACUCGACUCCAUGAAGUUGGAAUCGCUAGUAAUCGUGGAUCAGCAUGCCACGGUGAAUACGUUCCCGGGCCUU